UACAAGGAUCAUAUCACCCUCAAAGAUUACGAGAUCCACGACGGCAUGGGCCUCGAGCUCUACUACAACUAAAAUUUCUCUUCAAAGGUGCUAUUAAUGGCGUAAUAUAGUAUGUGCUGAGAAAUGGAUAAAUGCAUCGAAUGUAACUCUUGACUCGCAAAAAACCCCUUUGAUUAGAAUAAUGUACAUACCCGGAUGAUAUUGGGUUUAAUUUGUUGUUGGAACAAUCUAUUACUUUGUUAUAGAUAACACAUUUGACAUGUUCCAGGUUUAUAUGAA